CUUGGAGGGACUAUUCAAAUUGAGUGUCCCAUCAAAAGGACACUUAACUCACAAUGGACCAUGGGAGAUGCCUAUCUACACUGAGUGGACUGUCCUAUAAACGUGCUGUCUGGAAUAUAGGAUUUUGUGUGAAAGAAGAACUGAAGCAAAGUUUUGCUGUUGCCUACUUAAAGCUGUACUAAACCUGGGCUAGUGCCAACGAAAUGAGACUAUUCUGAAUGCUAGGAGCCUACCUGUUGAGAUGCACUGCACUGGAGCGCACUUCCUUCAGAAUCUGAAAUUGAACCCAUUGUUCCUGAGUUUCAACAUUCCUUUGUUGUCUGCUGCUAGGUGUGAUGCCUCCUAACAAAAUGUGCUUUCAUCCUCCUGGAUUGGCAGGUCUAUGUGGAAGAUAACAGCAACCUUUUGCUACCAAUUACUCUGUUAGCUCAACUGGUACAGAACCGUGUGGUGGAUCUAAAGAUCUCAUCUCUACUGCUGACCGAUGGGGUGAGGGUGGGGGCAAUAUGUUUAGACAAGAUGAACUUUUUGUAUUUUUAGUUUUAAAAAAUGUAGGCUCUAGGUGGUGGAACUGUUCUCCUCAAUAUCGGCCCUUCCAUCUGAGUCGUGUUCCCCCCUAAGUCUGGCCUUCAAGGCCCUAUUGUCUGGUAAUGUCUCUGUAUGCCAGGUCCUCACUGCCAGGGUCCCACCUCACUUUUCCAAGCCACUUGCCAUGCUUGGCUCCAGUGUUACUCAUGGCACAGCAGGCAUCCGCCAUCCUGGUCCCGGUGUUACAUGUGGCACAGUUGGAAUCUGCCAUC